AAUAGAUACCCCGGUAGUCCACGCCGUAAACGAUGAGUGCUAAGUGUUAGGGGGUUUCCGCCCCUUAGUGCUGCAGCUAACGCAUUAAGCACUCCGCCUGGGGAGUACGGUCGCAAGACUGAAACUCAAAGGAAUUGACGGGGGCCCGCACAAGCGGUGGAGCAUGUGGUUUAAUUCGAAGCAACGCGAAGAACCUUACCAGGUCUUGACAUCCCGUUGACCACUGUAGAGAUAUAGUUUCCCCUUCGGGGGCAACGGUGACAGGUGGUGCAUGGUUGUCGUCAGCUCGUGUCGUGAGAUGUUGGGUUAAGUCCCGCAACGAGCGCAACCCUUGAUCUUAGUUGCCAUCAUUUAGUUGGGCACUCUAAGGUGACUGCCGGUGACAAACCGGAGGAAGGUGGGGAUGACGUCAAAUCAUCAUGCCCCUUAUGACCUGGGCUACACACGUGCUACAAUGGACGAUACAAACGGUUGCCAACUCGCGAGAGGGAGCUAAUCCGAUAAAGUCGUUCUCAGUUCGGAUUGUAGGCUGCAACUCGCCUA
rnacentral:rRNA from 1 species